AAACCAACAGGGAUUGCCUCAGUAGCGGCGAGUGAAGCGGCAAUAGCUCAAAUUUGAAAUCUGGCGUCUUCGGCGUCCGAGUUGUAAUUUGAAGAAGGUAUCUUUGGUUUUGGCUCUUGUCUAUGUUCCUUGGAACAGGACGUCACAGAGGGUGAGAAUCCCGUGCGAUGAGAUGCCCAAUUCCAUGUAAAGUUCCUUCGACGAGUCGAGUUGUUUGGGAAUGCAGCUCUAAGUGGGUGGUAAAUUCCAUCUAAAGCUAAAUAUUGGCGAGAGACCGAUAGCGAACAAGUACUGUGAAGGAAAGAUGAAAAGAACUUUGAAAAGAGAGUGAAAAAGUACGUGAAAUUGUUGAAAGGGAAGGGCUUGAGAUCAGACUUGGAAUUUUCCAGCAAUGGAGCUUUCCGGGCCAGCAUCAGUUUGGAUGGCAGGACAAUUGCGUAGGAAAGUGGCACUACUUCGGUGGUGUGUUAUAGCCUGCGUCGAUACUGCCUGUCUAGACUGAGGACUGCGUCUUUGACUAGGAUGCUGGCAUAAUGAUCUUAAGCCGCCCGUCUUGAAACACGGACCAAGGAGUCUAACGUCUAUGCGAGUGUUUGGGUGUAAAA
rnacentral:rRNA from 1 species